GAGCGAGGGCCUCAAUCAGAAGAUAUAUGUAAUGACUUUUGAGGUUUUUGUUUUGCUCGUCAGAGUUUGUUUUUGUUUGUUGAUUUAGCAAUUGGCUUCUUGGAAAUGUGCCGCCAGAGUUCAAUGAGCAAACAUACACACACACACACAUAUGUAUGAAUAUAUACACACACGUUGGGCUCUCUUAAUAUAUAGCUUAUACAUAUGUAAAUUGUUAGUUUAAACAUAAAAAGUUACCUGGAAUUGAAUACAUUUGUUUUCUCUUGCUUCGUUUUUUUUGUUGAAAAGUGUCGGCUAUCUUCAGUUAACGUUAGUUACUUUUCAAUAAAUAUGAUGGAAAAAUCAUGUCAAGCAAUCAACUGGCUUUCUGGCAAUUCUCUCUCUGUUCCUCGCCCCCUUUCCUUGCCCUUUCCCUAGUUCCUAGUCCCUUUUCCAUUUCUGUUGUCUGCAAAUUGUAGAGUUGACUCGGUUGAACGGUGUCGGUGUCGGUGUCGGUGCGUCUGACGUCUGAUUGAUAAGCGAGCGAGCUGCGUCUUAUCUUAAUAAUAUUUAAUGCAUAGCAGGCGCGGAGGCCGCUCCAAAUGGUGACUGGGCAGAGGGGAGACGGGUGCGGGGAGUGUUAAGUGAAGAGCAGAAGAGCAGAAGACCGUCGCAUA